GAGAUCGGGAUAACACCUGGAAACAGAUGCUAAUACCGGAUAAUAACAGAUGAUGCCUAUCAACUGUUUAAAAGAUGGUUCUGCUAUCACUCUUGGAUGGACCUGCGGUGCAUUAGCUAGUUGGUAGGGUAACGGCCUACCAAGGCGAUGAUGCAUAGCCGAGUUGAGAGACUGAUCGGCCACAUUGGGACUGAGACACGGCCCAAACUCCUACGGGAGGCAGCAGGA
rnacentral:rRNA from 1 species